CGUUGUCUGCCACCCAAAAAAAAAAAAAAAAAAAGAGCACCACGUGACGAACGAUUCAAAGUCAUUUUUUUUACACAAAGCUUAAAAUGCGUGUGUUUUUUUUCCCGUCGCACAAGGCCAGCGUCGCUGAACCGUGCAAGUGAGCUUUCAAUCAGCCCGUGUUUGUUUAUCUUCUCACGCUCGACUUAAAAAAAGCAAGUAGCAAUUUACUUCAGCAUCUGUUUGCUAUUUAUUGCAUAGCUUUUCUCUUGCAACACAAAUGUGUGACAGCCACUACUUUCAUGUCCAUCUUUAUGCAGGAAAGGCGUUGUCAGUAGCGCUGCACUAUUUGGAUAUUGCGCUGGCUCGGAGGACCUCCGGGGACACAUCACUUGAACCUGAGUGCAUCAUGCAGCGCUCGCCUCCAACAAAACAAACUGUGUAGGAGGAGGCAGGUGGAGAAUGAACAAAAAAGCUUAGAGACCGACAUCCUAUUUAAGAAGUAUCUUCACCACGCUGAUGGAGAUGCUUUGAGGAUGCUGCAUAGGGGCCCACCUCCCCUCCCUCGCCAAUCACCCACGUGAGCCGGUGGGCUAAAAAUAGCGCCGGCAGCAGCCUGCAGCACGGAGCUGAUUGUGCAUGCAGCCCGAGCGACUACCACGCCAUCAGCACGACAGGGAAGCUCGCCGGCUAUGAGUGCAAGUUUGCCGGCUUCCUUGCCGCUGAUCCACCUCUGGCCAGAUGCACAACGUGCUCUGCAUCCUAGAUGAUGAGAUGAAUCGAUGCGUGUGUCGCCUCUGCUAGGCUCUCCCUGACACAGCACACGGUUGUCGGGAGAAGGCGGAGGAGAAGGAGAAGGGGGGUGGGGGGGUCUCAGCGGAAAACAAAAGGCAACAAUGAGAUGUGUUUGGACAACAAAGACCUAGUUAAGAUGCUAUCUCACCACUUUGUUUUUAACUUACAAAACAUGGACUGGACAAACCUCAGCUGAACAAGCUCAUUUUUUGGCGCUGGCUCCAGAGAAAUAUUUCAUAAAUUUAUACAUAUUGUUAAGGCCAACCUUUUAUGGAUCGGGAGUGAGCACAAGUCAAAACUAAAAAAAAAGUAUACGCAUGUUUCCUGUUCUGAAUCCCUGUUGAAAAGUGUAAAUGAACAUUUCUGACCGUUGGCCAAGGAUCAAUGAGAUUAUCAAUAAAUAGCCAUGAGCAAAAAUCAACAAGCGGCAUCAACUGCGCGGUCGUAGCUGACCUCAAUGUAUGCAGACUGUCAAUGUAAGUUGCGAUAAAACAUUCUGGCGCUGACAAUAAUAUUGUCAAUUCAGCUGCUUGCCAAGCGCGUGAGGAGAUAAAAGCAGUUAUAGGUGCUAAAAAAAAAAAAAAACUAGCGGGAGAA